AAGCAAAAACCCAAAGCCUUUUCAAACCCUUUGCCUUCACGGUUUCAACCUUUUGUUUUUCCUUUCCUUUUGUCGCACACGGUUUUAAUUUCCUGUCUCUCACGUUUUAGUUCUUUCCCCUUCCCCACCUUCUCUGUUCUACGGUUUCCUACGGUUUCACAUUUAAUCAUCGCUAGCCUCUCUCCCUUCUAACGGCAACCUCUCUGUUUUUCCUUCCUUCCUGUCUUCCUCUCCUUACAAUAUAUAAAUACUGACAGCAGCUAGACGAUUCAGUUGAGUGAUGCAAGGGCACAAGUUGAUGAUGAAGAUACAGCAAUGAUGAACAUUAUUAGGUCCGAUGAUUGGGUCACCAUUAAAAUCAUAAACUAGACAAUGAUGGUGAAUCCCCUAUCCAUAUCUCUCAUUGUUUAGGUUUUUCUUAUUCACUUUCAAUUUUAAAUAAAUUUUUACUUAAAACUUUGAAGAAACAUUCAAUGCUUUGUUCAACAAGAAUCAACUAUGCUAAUAUGACAAAUUAGCUUUGGCGUCAUUGGCUCCAUCUGACGAAUCAGUACCUAGCGGCUCUAGAAAGAAGAAGUCCAAGUGAUCACUGCCAUGUUCAUGCAAUACAAAAAACACCAUUGUUUCUGCCAGAAAGGUGCUUUUGGAAGGAGAGAAAUGCUAAGAAACAGAGUCUGCAACAACAUUGAAACAGAUGAAAAAUUUUCCUAUUCUCAGGUAAAUCAUGGUCCUCACGGAAGCUUCAAAGUCUAAGAAAGGCAUGAGAGAAUUUGUAGAACAAGCUUCUUUGUUUUUUAUUCUAUAUAUAUAUUUUUUGGACUUUAGGUUUCAUGUAAAGUAUUUAUUUUGUCUAAUAGAUGUUUGUUGUACUCUGCUUGGCAUAUUAUUAAAUUGGUACAAACUGUUGAAACAUAAACUAUUAAGACCUAUAAUACUUUUCAAAGUUGCUGUGUCAGGGCCUUAGGCCUUCGCUUGGUAUCAAUUUGGUGGGCAGCAGGUGUUUGUUGAAAGUUAAGUAUUGGCACUUGGCAGCUAAGUGGUUUGUAAUGUUGUAAGUGGAACCUAAGUUUAAUCAAGCACCAUGGUCUUCUC